GACGAACGCUGGCGGCGUGCCUAAUACAUGCAAGUCGAGCGGACAGAAGGGAGCUUGCUCCCGGAUGUUAGCGGCGGACGGGUGAGUAACACGUGGGUAACCUGCCUGUAAGACUGGGAUAACUCCGGGAAACCGGAGCUAAUACCGGAUAGUUCCUUGAACCGCAUGGUUCAAGGAUGAAAGACGGUUUCGGCUGUCACUUAUAGAUGGACCCGCGGCGCAUUAGCUAGUUGGUGAGGUAACGGCUCACCAAGGCGACGAUGCGUAGCCGACCUGAGAGGGUGAUCGGCCACACUGGGACUGAGACACGGCCCAGACUCCUACGGGAGGCAGCAGUAGGGAAUCUUCCGCAAUGGACGAAAGUCUGACGGGGCAACGCCGCGUGAGUGAUGAAGGUUUUCGGAUCGUAAAGCUCUGUUGUUAGGGAAGAACAAGUGCAAGAGUAACUGCUUGCACCGUGACGGUACCUAACCAGAAAGCCACGGCUAACUACGUGCCAGCAGCCGCCGUAAAAC
rnacentral:rRNA from 1 species